UACGUAGGUGGCAAGCGUUGUCCGGAUUUACUGGGCGUAAAGAGCGCGCAGGCGGUUAUUCAAGUCGAAUGUGAAAGCCCCCCGGCUUAACUGGGGAGGGUCAUUCGAUACUGUUUAACUUGAAGGCAGGAGAGGGUAGUGGAAUUCCCGGUGUGGUGGUGAAAUGCGUAGAUAUGCGGAGGAACACCGAUGGCGAAGGCAAUCCCCUGGGCCUGCACUGACGCUCAUGCACGAAAGCGUGGGGAGCAAACAGG
rnacentral:rRNA from 1 species